rnacentral:rRNA from 2 species
GGGAAACCGGGGCUAAUACCGAAUAACAUUUUGAACCGCAUGGUUAGAAAAUGAAAAGGCGGCUUCGGCUGUCACUUAUGGAGGGACCCGCGUCGCAUUAGCUAGUUGGUGAGGUAACGGCUCACCAAGGCAACGAUGCGUAGCCGACUGGAGAGGGUGAUCGGGCACACUGGGAAUGAGACACGGCCCAGACUCCUACGGGAGGCAGCAGUAGGGAAUCUUCCGCAAUGGACGAAAGUCUGACGGAGCAACGCCGCGUGAGUGAUGAAGGCCUUCGGGUCGUAAAACUCUGUUGUUAGGGAAGAACAAGUGCUAGUUGAAUAAGCUGGCACCUUGACGGUACCUAACCAGAAAGCCACGGCUAACUACGUGCCAGCAGCCGCGGUAAUACGUAGGUGGCAAGCGUUAUCCGGAAUUAUUGGGCGUAAAGCGCGCGCAGGUGGUUUCUUAAGUCUGAUGUGAAAGCCCACGGCUCAACCGUGGAGGGUCAUUGGAAACUGGGAGACUUGAGUGCAGAAGAGGAAAGUGGAAUUCCAUGUGUAGCGGUGAAAUGCGUAGAGAUAUGGAGGAACACCAGUGGCGAAGGCGACUUUCUGGUCUGUAACUGACACUGAGGCGCGAAAGCGUGGGGAGCAAACAGGAUUAGAUACCCUGGUAGUCCACGCCGUAAACGAUGAGUGCUAAGUGUUAGAGGGUUUCCGCCCUUUAGUGCUGAAGUUAACGCAUUAAGCACUCCGCCUGGGGAGUACGGCCGCAAGGCUGAAACUCAAAGGAAUUGACGGGGGCCCGCACAAGCGGUGGAGCAUGUGGUUUAAUUAGAAGCAACGCGAAGAACCUUACCAGGUCUUGACAUCCUCUGAAAACCCUAGAGAUAGGGCUUCUCCUUCGGGAGCAGAGUGACAG